GAUGAACGCUGGCGGCGUGCCUAAUACAUGCAAGUCGAGCGAAUGGAUUAAGAGCUUGCUCUUAUGAAGUUAGCGGCGGACGGGUGAGUAACACGUGGGUAACCUGCCCAUAAGACUGGGAUAACUCCGGGAAACCGGGGCUAAUACCGGAUAACAUUUUGAACCGCAUGGUUCGAAAUUGAAAGGCGGCUUCGGCUGUCACUUAUGGAUGGACCCGCGUCGCAUUAGCUAGUUGGUGAGGUAACGGCUCACCAAGGCAACGAUGCGUAGCCGACCUGAGAGGGUGAUCGGCAACACGGGGACUGAGACACGGCCCAGACUCCUACGGGAGGCAGCAGUAGGGAAUCUUCCGCAAUGGACGAAAGUCUGACGGAGCAACGCCGCGUGAGUGAUAAAGGCUUUCGGGUCGUAAAACUCUGUUGUUAGGGAAGAACAAGUGCUAGUUGAAUAAGCUGACACCUUGACGGUACCUAACCAGAAAGCCACGGCUAACUACGUGCCAGCCGCCGCAGUAA
rnacentral:rRNA from 1 species